CUUCUAUGAUAUGGUCUUGACAUUGAAAGAUAUACAAGUGAGAACAGACGAACAAAUAAUUAUGACUCGCUGACAGUCCACUUCACCUAAUCACCAUGAGGAGUAGAAGUAACUCAGGAAUACGUUUAGAUUAUUUCCAACGUCUUGUUAACCGAACCAUUUACGGUAUCAAAGUCCCUCCACUGGGCUGAUAUCAUCACGUGAAGACAGCCAACACAGCUGGGUUCGUGACAAUGUUUACAGCAUCAUGGCAGUCUGGGGCUUGGCAUUGGCCUAUCGUAAAACAGCAGAUCUUGAUGAAGACAGAGCCAAAGCUUAUGAGUUAGAAAAGGCAGUGGUGAUGCUCAUGCGGGGAUUGCUGCGCAGCAUGAUGAUGCAAGUGGAGAAGUUGGAGAAGUUCAAGGUCUCCCAGAACCCACGAGAUGCCUUGCAUGCCAAGUACUGUAGCCGAACAGGAAAAGCAGUGGUCGGCGACUAUGAGUGGGGGCAUUUGCAGAUUGAUGCCACAUCCCUAUACUUGUUGACACUGGCUCAGAUGACUGCUUCAGGCAUGGAGAUUAUAUUCACCUUGGAUGAGGUGGCCUUUGUUCAGAAUCUGGUGUUCUAUAUUGAGACAGCAUAUCGUACGCCUGACUAUGGCAUUUGGGAGAGGGGAGAUAAGACUAACCACGGCUUGCCAGAACUUAAUUCUAGCUCAAUAGGCAUGGCGAAGGCUGCUUUAGAGGCAGUAAAUGAAUUGGAUCUUUUCGGGGCUCGUGGUGGGCCAGCUUCCAUUAUUUAUGUUCUGCCUGACGAAGCUCAGCAAUGCCAGGCUAUCCUUACCUCUAUGCUGCCAAGAGAGUCAUCAUCCAAAGAAGUUGAUGCGAGUCUCAUAACAAUCAUCGGAUUUCCAGCAUUUGCAGUAGAUGACACAGAGAUUGUUGCAGAAACACGCAGGGUGAUAAAGGAGAAAUUGAGUGGAAGGUAUGGAUGCUGCCGGUUUCUGAGAGAUGGGUACAAAACUGCAAGAGAGGAUCCACGACGACUACACUAUGAACCUUGGGAGCUUCUCAUGUUUGAAAAAAUUGAAUGCCAGUGGCCUCUUUUCUUUGCCUACUAUAUCCUGGAUGGCCUCUUCCGCAAUGAUAUGAAGCAGGUAGAAGAAUAUAGACAACGACUUGAUGAAAUCAUGCUGAAGAGUGAAGAUGGCAUACCACUCCUGCCAGAACUGUAUGCAGUGCCACCGGAAUUGGUGGAGAAGGAAUUGGCCAAUCCCAACAGUCAAAAACGUGUUGCUCAAGGACAGCUUCCUCAUAUGUGGGGACAAUCCAUGUACAUCUUGGGUCGCCUUAUGUACGAGGGCUUUCUCUCACCUGGAGAAAUUGAUCCCCUUAAUCGCCGUCUGGUUAGUGAACCAAAGCCAGAUGUAGUGGUACAAGUUGUGAUUCUGGCAGAAACUCGCAAGAUAGCAGAAAAGCUGAUGCAGCAUGGUAUUGAAGUGCAGACCAUUCAAGAUACCAGCCCCAUUCAAGUCCACCCAGCCCGUGUCUUAUCUCAUAUCUUCUCACUUCUGGGGAAAAACAGACAGCUGGGUGUAACUGGCCGGCCAUCUACUGAAAUUGGUCUCCUGGCUACAAGCAAACUAUAUGUCCUUAACGACCAGAUUUUUGCUUUUAUACCAGAGUUUAUGAACCAGCAUCAGUUUUAUCUCCCUCUGGAUGUGGAUUUCCUGGUGGACCAUUUCAAAACAGACACAGACUUUCUGGCACGAAACUGGAGGAUGCUUGGAAGGCCUACAAUCAUCUUUCACCUGUCCAGGUCUAUGUUAGAUCAUUUGCACAACCCACCUGCGGCCCUUAUUGCAACCAUUAAGAAACUGCAGAGUGGCUACAUCAGUGGUGCUCGUGUUCACAUGGGAAAUCUUUCUGAGUUUCUUAACACUUCCUGCAUUUGCAAACUGACAUUUCUGCAUGACCCUAAUGACCCAUCACAGAAAGAAGAUCAAGUGAUGAAAAUCAUAGAAGAUAUCGCCAGUCCGUCCUGCCGCAGACCAUAUCUUCUGUCCACAUCUCGUCGAUCACGGAAAGCCAGCACUGUUUUGUCUGGAACAGCAGUCAGUGGAAUUGUGCGGCGCUCUCGUUCCAUUCAGAUUGAUCCUGACCAGUUACCAGACUUGUAUGCCCACCUGAACAGCUUGAGGCGGCAGUCUUUUGUCUCCCCAACAGCUAGUGGCACAGACAUUUUAACUGCAAUUCAUCUUCGAAAAAAGUCCACGGCAAAAAAUAUAGAAUGUCCGCAAGCAUCACCUUAUGGAGGACAGUCUGUGAUAGAAGAAGAAACUUUGUCACGGCACCCUUCAUUAACAACUGGCAUAGCACCUGCUCAUAGGACAAAACGGGCCUCUCUUCCAGCCGUGAUGCCAUCACAUGAUAUCUACGGCUUUAGCAGAGUAGCAGAGACAAUAGACGAGGCGGAAGAAGAGCCCACAGUUACAUCACAGAUUUUGAAACCAGUCCAAAAUACUAAGGAAAUCACAUCCUACACCCAGCAGUUCUUACAUCUAAAAGAUGCCAGCAGUGGGCACUAUGACCUGCCACACACACCAAGUGGCUCACCCACCUCCUCACCUGGUCCACGGCACAGACAGUUAAAAGGGGAUAUCUCAGAUGUGGAUCUGAGUGACCUCACAGACCAGCUGCAGAAGUCCGAGACUCUGCAGGAACAGGCUGACAUCAUCCACUAUCUCUACACUGCUAAGGGUCUCGACUGGGAUACACACAUGGAUCUGAAGAAAAAGUGCACUGUCAAAGACCUGCUGACUGAACUGUAUGAAAAGGCAAGCCACUGGAAACAGUGGUGGCUGGUAAGACAUACAGCAGGCAUGUUGGAGAAACGGGUCGAAGAACUUGCCAUCGCUGCUACAGACUUACUGGUGCGGCAAAAACAGUUGUCAGUGGGCAUGCCAAAUGAUGGGGAACGCAUCAUCACAUGCCCUCUCCCGCCUGACGAACUUUUCAGCAUAAUCAACGAAGCUUGUGGUGAAGACAAGAGCUCUGUAUCUCUGACUCAGGAACUUCUGAUCUACUUGGCCAUGUUCAUCCGAACAGAACCCAAACUGUUCCAUGAGAUGCUGCGACUCAGGGUAGGCCUAAUCAUUCAGGUCAUGGCUUCAGAAAUGGCACGCACUCUGAAAUGUACAGGUGAUGAGGCUUCAGACCAUCUAUUAAAUCUGAGUCCUUUUGAGAUGAAAACGUUGCUGCAUCACAUCCUCAGCGGAAAGGAGUUUGUCAUCAACACCUGUGGUAAGCCAGAAAGACCUUCCACUCAUCAGCGUUGCCUCCUCAACAGAGGAGUCAGAUGAGAGCAGCCAUGACCGCCAGGGUCAGUGGCUUCGUCGUCGCCGCCUGGAUGGAGCCCUGAACAGAGUGCCAGUGGGCUUCUACCCUCGCAUCUGGGAGGUUCUUCGCAGGUGCCCUGGAAUCAGGAUCGAUGAUACUCUUCUGCCUUCAAGCUUGACUCAGGAG
rnacentral:misc_RNA from 1 species